CCUACACCGCCCCCAUCACAUAACAAAACGCAAAUCAGCAGCGACAAUGGCGAUGUCGAGACUUUCAGACUCCAUCUCCAGCUCCUCCACGUGCCACUACAGCAACUGUGUGCCCACAGCACGAGUUCAUCAAUCGAGUUGUCGAGUCGCCGAUUAUUGAGCGCUUGAACAUUAAACCCGGACAACAUUUGGAUUUGCGAGCAACUUAAACUUAAACAAGCAGCAAGAGUGCAACAGAGAAAGAACGAACGAG